AAGGGCUCUCGACGUGCUCUGCUCAACACUUCCUAGUUACUAUCUUGUCAAGUACUUACAACAUACCAGGAAGGUGUGUAGAAAUUUCUACUGCUCUCUUUUUACAGAUAGUGAAGCCAAGUCUAAAAGAGGUUAUAUAACUUGUCCCAAGUCCCCCAGCUGGGAUUGGAGGCCUCCCCACAACAGCUCUGGGUCCGAACGAAGCCCAGGCUCCUCUCAGCCGCCAGUCCAGACCAGUCCCUCCCUGAUGGAGCCUGAGGGGCUCCAGGUGCUUUGCUGUAAGGUGGGUGCCCUUGUUGGCCAUAGUGGUGUCUGUGCAGGGGUGCUCUGGGGACACCCAGGUGACUGCUGGUGGGAGGCAGUGCUGUGAUCACAAGCCCUUCCUUCCAGUAGUUGACACCUCUGCUUUGGCCCUGGUUGGGGGCUUCCAAUCCUCAUGAGUGUUGCUGCUCCCAGGAUCUGUGGGACUCCUGGCCUGCGCUUUAUCAAGCCUGGGCUCAAAGCAGGGUGAAGUGGCCCAUGUGAAGGGGCAGGUCCUGGGCCAGGCCUAUGACCUCUGCAGCCCUUCCCAGCCUCAGCCUCAGCCUCAGCUCCUGCUCCGUGAAAUGGCACAGAGUGCCAGGAAAGCAGUGUCCAGGAGGACAGAAGUCUGGGAAUGUGGGUGUGAAGACGCAGGACUCAGCCAAACCAGGAGGGAAGGACCCAUGCCAGACAUGCCUGAUACCACGCAUCAUCCCUUCUGUCUACCUUGUGAGUCUCUGCGACCCAGAGCACGUCUCCUGGACUGGCGGACUCACCCACACGGACCAGUUUAGAAAUUCCUGGGAAAGGGAUUCCUAUUGGCUGCUCAGGCAGACAGGACACUGACAGGACGAAUGGAUUCUGGAAAGUCUCUGGGCUUCUUUUGGUUCAUGGAGAUAAUCAUACAUAAAGAUAAGCAACCUUGAGGGUCUGUCUCAUUCUAAGAUGUGGUACCUUGGAUGUGAAUGGGAUGUGAAGGAUUCACCCAGUUGUGCAGAGUGGAAGCCAUGCGUUUUGGGAUGCUUAACAGACAGAACAUAUAGGCGAGUGUAUCUGCAAAACCAUAAAUAUUUGAUGGGCAGGACAGCAAAGUCCAGCAGAGGAAGGAGACUCAACGCAAACUUCCAUCAUUGACCUGCAAAACCUCCAAAAAUGGAGAGCUGAAGAGGAGAGCUUGAAACCCUUUACUGUCUCAUCCUCCUCACCAGCUGUCAAUCAUUCCAGUUUCUCUUCUUUUGGAUGGAGCUCUGGAAGGCCAAGAAUGCAUGAAAAUAAGGAAGGGAUGAAAGACAGCCAUGUUCUGAAAAUGGCAGCUGUGGUCCUUGCUAAAGAAGGAUGGAAAGCAGAACUAAACCAACCGAGAUCUAGAGCCAAGUUCAGAUGACCUGCUGCUUGAGCUUCCAGAAGCUCUGGAGUAAGAAAAACAAAUAUUUGUUACUGUAGCCCCUGAGAUUCCAGGGCUAUUUGUUAUGCAGCAUUUUUAUAUCAAAACCUUUUUAAUGAACUUAGAAAUGUAUGCCAAAUGAAAUAAAUGAAUCAAAAUUUCAAAGGAAGUAUUCCCUCUGCUUCUAUAAUUUGAAAGCAAAUAUAUAGAAUUGAUAUAUAUUUUUUUCUUAAAUGUUUGGUAGAAUUCACCAGUGAAUCCAUCUGGGCCUGGUACUUUCUGUUAAUUAUUUUAUUAAUUACUGAUUUAAUUUAUUUACUGUAUAUAGGCCUAUUUAGAUUGUCUAUUUUUAUACCACAUUUAUCACAACAUGAAUGUGGAUAUUUUUUUAAUAGUUUAUUUUCAAAUUGGUUUCCAUAUAACACCCAGUGCCUCUCCCCACAAGUGCCUCCCACCAUGACCAUCACCCUUUCCUCCUUCCCCCUUCCCCUUCAGUCCAUGGUUCAUUUUCAGUAUUCAAUAGUCUUUCAUGAUUUGUGUCCCUCACUCUCCCCAGCUCUCUUUCCCCCUUCCCCUCCCUAUGGUCCUCUGUUAGUUUUCUCCUGUUAGACCUAUGAGUGCAAACAUAUGGUAUCUGUCUCUCUCCGCCUGACUUAUUUCGCUUAGCAUGACACCCUCGAGGUCAUUCCACUUUGCUACAAAUGGCCAUAUUUCUUUCUUCCUCAUUGCCAUAUAGUACUCCAUUGUAUAUACCACAUCUUCUUUAAUGUGGAUAUU
rnacentral:lncRNA from 1 species